rnacentral:ribozyme from 1 species
UGUCCAGUAACUCCUAUCCCUACCUCCCCGUGGUGCCGCCUGGGAUAAGAGUAACCUUAGGGAAGAUCGGGUAACUAACCUCGAUGGGACCUUGGUCGUAUGCUGACAGGGAAGG